AGUACAGGUAACCCCUCAGGUAACAAACAGUACAGGUAAGAGUACACAGGUAACCCCUCAGGUAACAAACAGUACAGGUAAGAGUACACAGGUAACCCCUCAGGUAACAAACAGUACAGGUAACCCCUCAGGUAACAAACAGUACAGGUAAGAGUACACAGGUAACCCCUCAGGUAACAAACAGUACAGGUAAC